GACGAACCGUGCGAACGUUAUUCGGAAUCACUGGGCUUAAAGCGCGUGUAGGCGGAUGGGAACGUCGGCCACUGAAAGCCCCCGGCUCAACCGGGGAAGUGGUGCCGAAACGGCCCGUCUGGAGGGACGUAGGGGGACCUGGAACUUCCGGUGGAGCGGUGAAAUGCGUUGAGAUCGGAAGGAACGCCCGUGGCGAAAGCGAGGUCCUGGACGUCAUCUGACGCUGAGACGCGAAAGCUAGGGGAGCGAACGGG
rnacentral:rRNA from 1 species